UAUCCAACCAGAAAGCCACGGCUAACUACGUGCCAGCAGCCGCGGUAAUACGUAGGUGGCAAGCGUUAUCCGGAUUUAUUGGGCGUAAAGCGAGCGCAGGCGGUUUUUUAAGUCUGAUGUGAAAGCCCUCGGCUUAACCGAGGAAGUGCAUCGGAAACUGGGAAACUUGAGUGCAGAAGAGGACAGUGGAACUCCAUGUGUAGCGGUGAAAUGCGUAGAUAUAUGGAAGAACACCAGUGGCGAAGGCGGCUGUCUGGUCUGUAACUGACGCUGAGGCUCGAAAGCAUGGGUAGCGAACAGGAUUAGAUACCCUGGUAGUCCAUGCCGUAAACGAUGAAUGCUAGGUGUUGGAGGGUUUCCGCCCUUCAGUGCCGCAGCUAACGCAUUAAGCAUUCCGCCUGGGGAGUACGACCGCAAGGUUGAAACUCAAAGGAAUUGACGGGGGCCCGCACAAGCGGUGGAGCAUGUGGUUUAAUUCGAAGCAACGCGAAGAACCUUACCAGGUCUUGACAUCUUUUGAUCACCUGAGAGAUCAGGU
rnacentral:rRNA from 1 species